CUCAAGACUAAGCCAUGCAUGUCUAAGUAUAAAUGCUUCUAUACCGUGAAACUGCGAAUGGCUCAUUAAAUCAGUUAUAGUUUAUUUGAUGGUCUCUUACUACUUGGAUAACCGUGGUAAUUCUAGAGCUAAUACAUGCACAAGGUCCCGACUCUACGGAAGGGAUGUAUUUAUUAGAUCCAAAACCAAUGCGAGUCUCUCGGGGCUCGGUUACUUGGUGAUUCAUGAUAACUGCUCGAACCGUACGGCCUUUGCGCCGACGGUGCUUCAUUCAAAUUUCUGCCCUAUCAACUUUCGAUGGUACGGUAGUGGCCUACCAUGGUUGCAACGGGUGACGGAGAAUUAGGGUUCGAUUCCGGAGAGGGAGCCUGAGAAACGGCUACCACAUCCAAGGAAGGCAGCAGGCGCGCAAAUUACCCAAUCCCGACUCGGGGAGGUAGUGACAAUAAAUAACAAUGCCGGGCUAUUGUAGUCUGGCAAUUGGAAUGAGUACAAUCUAAAUCCCUUAACGAGGAACAAUUGGAGGGCAAGUCUGGUGCCAGCAGCCGCGGUAAUUCCAGCUCCAAUAGCGUAUAUUAAAGUUGUUGCAGUUAAAAAGCUCGUAGUUGGAUUUCGGGGUGGCCUGGCUGGUCCACCGCAAGGUGUGCACUGGUCAGCCGCCCUUCCUCUCGAAAGCCCCGACUGCUCUUCACUGCAGUGGUCGGGUAGUUCGGGACGUUUACUUUGAAAAAAUUAGAGUGUUCAAGGCAGGCUCUCGCCUGAAUACAUUAGCAUGGAAUAAUGGAAGAGGACCUCGGUCCUAUUUUGUUGGUUUCUAGGGCCGAAGUAAUGAUUAAGAGGGACAGUUGGGGGCAUUCGUAUUUAAUUGUCAGAGGUGAAAUUCUUGGAUUUAUGAAAGACGAACUAGUGCGAAAGCAUUUGCCAAGGAUGUUUUCAUUAAUCAAGAACGAAAGUUAGGGGUUCGA
rnacentral:rRNA from 1 species